GUUUUCUUCCGGAGCGGUGUGACUGCGUUCCCAAUUUCAAAAUCCCUCUCUCCCACGCUCCCCAAAUCCCUUCGUACCUCUCCCAAACCCUACGAUCGACGAAGAUUGUCAGAAGUCUGGUGGUAACGGGAUCAUAGUUUUGAGGUUUCUCCGGAAAAAACCCUAGAUAUGAGAAGUGAAGGCAAUGGCUCUUUGGGCAAAUGAAUCCGAAAGCCUAGGGUUCAAUUUUAGGGUGGAAGUUACGAGGACUUUCAGCUUGGUCUGUCUCUAGGUGUCGUCUGAUGUCUACUAUACGUCCAAUUUGUCUAAGUUCCAUGUCUUCUCUGGUGGUAAGCCAAAUCAGGAUUGCAAAUUUGAACCUAUGAUGGGUGGCACCUCUCGCUUGCACUGGGAUGAAUAUGGAUAUAGGCUUUAUGCUGUUGAGGAACGAUCAUUUUCUUUUGGAAAAUGUUGCCUUAAUAGAGGAGUUUCAGGCACUACUUAUACCGUCAAGUUAUCUAUGGUGAAGAUCGACUGCUUAUUGUGCAGUCUGAAGAUACUGAUGAGCUGAAGAUUUUGCAUCUUCACCUUCCAGUUAUGUAUUCUUCUCAAUCAUCCUGUGUGAUUCUUCUCAUAUCUUAUUGUACGAUAUGUGCUAACGUUGUUUUGUUUGAAUUAGGUUUCUUAUAUGUUACAAAACUGGCCAGUUUUGCACGUGCCAGCUAGCAUUUGAUAUACUUGGCUGUGGCUGGCCUUCAUGGUUUAAUAUUGUAUGAUAUACGACCUGAAGAAGUGGAAAGUGUUUGGUGAUAUUACCCCGGAACAGAAGAUUCAGUGCAAAGGCUUGUUAUGGCUUGGGAAAAUUGUUGUUGUCUGCAACUAUAUUGAUUCUUCCAAUAUAUGAGCUAUAUGUACAUUUCUGUUUGUUGAACUCCAUGGCCUAUUACCUACUACCAAAAAAGCAAUAAAACAAACUUAAAUAGAAUUCUAGGGGCAAGUUGAAAUGGUGUUGGUGACUGAAAAUUGAUAUCAUGCUUAUAGUUUCAAC